AGGAGCUUGCUCCUCUGAUCAGUGGCGAACGGGUGAGUAACACGUGAGCAACCUGCCCCAGACUCUGGGACAACAGUUGGAAACAGCUGCUAAUACCGGAUACGAGACGGAGAGGCAUCUCUACCGUCUGGAAAGUUUUUCGGUCUGGGAUGGACUCGCGGCCUAUCAGCUAGUUGGUGAGGUAAUGGCUCACCAAGGCGACGACGGGUAGCCGGCCUGAGAGGGCGACCGGCCACACUGGGACUGAGACACGGCCCAGACUCCUACGGGAGGCAGCAGUGGGGAAUAUUGCACAAUGGGCGAAAGCCUGAUGCAGCGACGCCGCGUGAGGGAUGACGGCCUUCGGGCUGUAAACCUCUUUCAGCAGGGAAGAAGCGAAAGUGACGGUACCUGCAGAAGAAGCACCGGCUAACUACGUGCCAGCAGCCGCGGUAAUACGUAGGGUGCGAGCGUUGUCCGGAAUUAUUGGGCGUAAAGAGCUUGUAGGCGGUUUGUCGCGUCUGCAGUGAAAAUCCGAGGCUCAACCUCGGACUUGCUGUGGGUACGGGCAGACUAGAGUAUGGUAGGGGAGACCGGAAUUCCUGGUGUAGCGGUGGAAUGCGCAGAUAUCAGGAGGAACACCGAUGGCGAAGGCAGGUCUCUGGGCCAUAACUGACGCUGAGAAGCGAAAGCAUGGGGAGCGAACAGGAUUAGAUACCCUGGCAGUCCAUGCCGUAAACGUUGGGCGCUAGGUGUGGGGC
rnacentral:rRNA from 1 species